UACGUAGGGUGCAAGCGUUAAUCGGAAUUACUGGGCUUAAAGGGUGCGUAGGCGGCGCGGAAAGUUGGGUGUGAAAUCCCUCGGCUCAACCGAGGAAUUGCGCUCAAAACUACCGUGCUCGAGGGAGAUAGAGGAGCGCGGAACUUAGGGUGGAGCGGUGAAAUGCGUUGAUAUCCUAGGGAACACCGGUGGCGAAAGCGGCGCUCUGGAUCUCAUCUGACGCUGAUGCACGAAAGCUAGGGGAGCGAACGGG
rnacentral:rRNA from 1 species